AUGGAAGAGCCACUGACAAGGCCUCUUAUUUAAAGAGUGCCUGAAGUGAGGAAGCAAACCCCCAAAUCAUCUGGGAUGGUAUGAACUGAACUCUGGACCGCAACAUGAUGGAAAGGAGGAGCUGGGGUCCCAAGGGCAGUCCAGACAACCUGAACCUGUGACACUCACCCUGCCCACACACUCUCAGAGCUGCAGCUUUCACGGGGGUGACAUGAAUGCUUGUAAAUGAGCUUGCUGAAUGGGAGACCAAGAACGAUGAUAUUGAGCUGUUACUACAUGCCAGACAUUUAACCCUUUCAUCCAGGUUAUCUCAAUCAUUCCUUACAGAAAGGCUUUUGAGAUGUCCUUGCAACUGGAGGUGCCAUAUGAUACAGUUCUGCCCAAAGACAAGAAAGUGAAUGUCUGUUGAGGGCUUCCUAUAAGGCCAAUACAUACAGGUGUUCCCAACAACAGAUGGAAAAGCUCCUGCCAUCCUGGGCAGCACAUGGUAGAGGGGAGGCAGCCACUGACCUUCUGGGUAAUCUGUCAUGACGACCUGAUAGCAGACCGGCAGGAUGCUCCAAACUGUCACCAAAGAUGUCACGAGUGCUUCUGAGGCUCAAGAAUCUAAUUUUCCUUACUUAAAAUAAAAGGACUGAAUGCUGGAUGAAUAACCCUUUUUUUCACCCCCUAAACAAAUCUCAUAGGGAAUCCUAAUAUAUAAAAUAACCAAAGUGCAAGCCCUGGGUUAAAGCCGAGGAUGGGUGCUAGAGAUGGGCUAGAGCAUGUCUGCUUAGCUUUCUUCCACUAUCCCAGCCAUUUAAAGACCACAAGUUAGCUUCCUGGAAUUCAGUUUGACAAACACUUAGGCUAGAUCAUUGUCAGGGGACCUUCAUUUCAAGCUCCAUGGAGUAGGUCGGGGACUCUGCCUUGGUCAUCCCUGAAUCCCCACAGCCAUGGUUCUAGCACACAGUAAGCACUAAAAACCAAAACCCAAAAACCCGUAUGAUAAUGUAUGUCUACAGACAUUCGAUGAAUGGAUGAAUAAAAGAUUUUUCAGAUACCAUGAGAUGUGUUUAUCUAUUUAAGAUUAUAACUCCAUUGACCAAUAGAGUUGGGUUUUAAGCUAUAACCCCCCAAUCUGACCAUCUACUAUAUACCUUCCCUUCCCCCAACUUUUCUCUCUACACAUAUAAAAACUCAGCCUUAUCUUCUCUGAGAUUGCAUCUCAAACACCAAAUGAAAAUGUCUCCCAAAUGGGCAGACAGCUUGUUUAUACAGAAAUAAUUGCUUCAGCACAGUGUCCUCCUUUACAGGAAAACUGGAAGAAAAUGCUGAGUAGGCAGAUUCCUCCUCCUUUGCAUUAGGAAGAAAUUUAAAACCUGUUUCAGUUGUUUCUUUGGCCUUGUGUAAAAAUAAGGCUUUUCUCCCCAACCUUGGGGCUAAGUAAAAAAUAAAUAAAUAAAUAAAUCUAAACCUGGCUUACAGUUUCUCUGAGCUCCCAAAAUAAGUCCAUGCGAUUUUGAAAUGUAUUCUUCCCCCUUCUUUUCUUAAGUUGGAACCAGUCAGAGAUGAGUGGAUGUUCAUUUGGCAGCUUGAAACUGCUGAGAAAGGUGGAAACAAUAUGGAUGUCUUGGCAUCAUUCACUCUCCCUCUCUUCCCUCUCCC
rnacentral:lncRNA from 1 species